rnacentral:tRNA from 1 species
UGGAUAGCUCAGUCAGUAGAGCGUGAGACUCUUAAUCUCAGGGUCAGGGGUUCGAGCCUCACAUUGGGAAAA